rnacentral:rRNA from 1 species
ACCAGUUAUCCUGCCAAGGGUAAGUGCUGGGUAGCUACGUUCGGAAAGGAUAACCGCUGAAAGCAUCUAAGUGGGAAGCCUUCCUCAAGAUGAGAUAUCCUUUAAGGGUCCUGGAAGAAUACCAGGUCGAUAGGUUAGAAGUGUAAGUAUAGUAAUAUAUUAAGCUGACUAAUACUAAUUACCCGUAUCUUUGGCCAU